rnacentral:rRNA from 1 species
AACGUAGGUGGCGAGCGUUAUCCGGAUUUACUGGGCGUAAAGCGUGUGCAGGCGGUGGAACAAGGGGGGUAUGAAAUGGCUCGGCUAAACCGGGCAGCGGUAUGCCAGACUGUUUUCCUGGAGUCCGGAAGAGGAGAGUGGAAUUCCUGGUGUAGCGGUGAAAUGCGCAGAUAUCAGGAAGAACACCCGUGGCUAAGGCGGCUCUCUAGUACGGUACUGACGCUGAGACGCGAAAGCGUGGGGAGCGAACAGG